GAUGAACGCUGGCGGCGUGCCUAAUACAUGCGAGACGAGCGAACAGACGAGGAGCUUGCUCCUCUGACGUUAGCGGCGGACGGGUGAGUAACACGUGGAUAACCUACCUAUAAGACUGGGAUAACUUCGGGAAACCGGAGCUAAUACCGGAUAACAUGUUGAACCGCAUGGUUUAACAGUGAAAGACGGUCUUGCUGUCACUUAUAGAUGGAUCCGCGCCGCAUUAGCUAGUUGGUAAGGUAACGGCUUACCAAGGCAACGAUGCGUAGCCGACCUGAGAGGGUGAUCGGCCACACUGGAACUGAGACACGGUCCAGACUCCUACGGGAGGCAGCAGUAGGGAAUCUUCCGCAAUGGGCGAAAGCCUGACGGAGCAACGCCGCGUGAGUGAAGAAGGUCUUCGGAUCGUAAAACUCUGUUAUUAGGGAAGAACAAAUGUGUAAGUAACUAUGCACGUCUUGACGGUACCUAAUCAGAAAGCCACGGCUAACUACGUG
rnacentral:rRNA from 1 species